GCAUUAGUAGCUCAAUGUAAGAGCACCAGUCUUGUAAACUGGCGGCCGGAGGUUAAACUCCUCCCUUCUGCU
rnacentral:tRNA from 1 species